AUCUUAAGCCACUUGCUUACCAAGUCAAUGUAUCUCAAUUUGAGAAUUUUUAGAUAUUUAUAUUAGAAAACAAGACAAAAAAACCUAGGUAAGUCAAUAAUUUUUUGCAGUGUGAGGGAGAAGAACCAAGCCCUGAGGGAACGUAGUCAACGAGCAGCUUCGGAUGACAGCGGCUCACUUUUCGCGUUGCUUGACAACACUUUGAGGCAGGAUAAAAAGCUCCAGGAACAAUUUCUUUAGAGUAUCUUCUCUAAUCACCUUUCCAUUAAUACAACCUGGACUGGUGUAGGGAAUCAAGCAUGUUUUAGAGACCUGUUUCUGAAGACCAUUGUUCAAAGAGCCAUCCGGAAGAACCCUGCAACCCAGAAUGCCAC